rnacentral:lncRNA from 1 species
UUUUUUUUUUUGAGAUGGCUGCAGUCCAGUGGUAUGAUCUCGGCUCACUGCAACCUCUGCCUCCUGGGUUCAAGCAAUUCUCCUGCCUCAUCCUACUUAAUAGCUGGGAUUACAGGCAUGUGCCACCACGCCCAGCUACUUUUUUUGCAUUUUUAGUAGAGACGGGGUUUCACCAUAUUGGCCAGGCUGGUCUCGAACUCCUGACCUUGUGAUCUACCCACCUCGACCUCUCAAAGUGCCGGGAUUACAGGCGUGAGCCACUGCACCCAGCCAUAUUUGUAUUUUUAGUAGAGAUGGGGUUUCACUAUAUUGGCCAGGCUGGUCUCAAACUCCUGACCUCGUGAUCCGCCUGCCUCGGCCUCCAAAGUGCUGGGAUUACAGGCAUGAGCCACUGCGCCCAUGCCCAGCUAAUUUUUUGUAUUUUUUUUUUUUUUUGUAGAGGCAGGGUUUCUCUAUGUUGCCCAAGCUGGUCUUGAACUCCCGACCUCAAGUGAUCUGCCCGCCCCGGCCUCCCAAAGUGCUGGGAUCACAAGCGUGAGCCACCGCACCUGGCCCUUCCUCUGAGGCCUUCGUCUCCAAGAAUCCAGCAAAGUGACAAUAAUGAAAAUAAUGUCACUAAAGGGCCAGCACCACAGAAGAAAUCUCACUGGAACACCUGACUUCAAGUGUGACCUUGAAUCUCACUGAGCUCUCAAAUGUAACUGCCAGUUCCCCAAAAUGUGAGGAACUGAGAAACAGGGUGAAGAGCAGUGGCAUGAUCUUGGCUCAUUGCAACCUCCACCUCCUGGGCUCAGGCAAUCCACCUCAGCCACUUCCAUAGCUGGGACUACCAGCAUGUGCCACCAUGCUCAGACAGGAUCUCACUCUGUCACCCAGGCUGGAGUGCAGUGGCACAAUCUUGGCUUACUGCAGCCUCAACCUCCUGAACUCAAGUGAUCCUCCCACCUCAGCCUCCUGAGUAGUUGGAACUGCAGGCUGGAGUGCAAUGGCACAAUCUCGGCUCACUGCGACCUCCAUCUCCCAGGUUCAAGCGAUACUCCUGCCUCAGCCUCCCAAGUAGCUUGGAUUACCGGUGCCCACCACCACGUCGAGCUAAUGUUUGUAUUUUUGGGACAGACAGGGUUUUACCAUGUUGUCCAGGCUGGUCUCGAUCUCCUGACCUCAGGUGAUCCACCUGCCUCGGCCUCCCAAAGUGCUGGGAUUACAGGUAUGAACCACAUGUGCCCAGCCCAAAAGCUACAAUUUUAUCCUCAACAGUCUGGUUCCCAAGUCUAUGCUCUUAAAAAGGUAACCCCCAUUCUCUCCCCUAAAAAGUCUCAACAGAGGGAGGAGUUGUCAACAAAUAUAUAGCAGAUCUUGCCCUAGAGUCUCCUGAAACAAAAGGUAGACUGAGUGUAAAUAAAGCUCUAGCCCAGUCCAGCCUAGCUCAAUUCCUGAUUGGACUGAGGUGAUCAGCCUGUUAUCCUAUCUGCCUAAGAGAGGGAAAGGACACUUCUCACUGGGCAAAGAUGACAUUGCUUCAUCCCUAUGGUUCUUUUUUAUACAAUGUCCAGAAUAUAAUAAAAAACUACAAGGCAAGGGAUGAGGCAGGAAAAUGUGGUGGAUAAGAGAGAAAAAGAGACAACAGAAGCAGACACAUGGAUGAUCAAAUCUGGAAGUCAGCAAACAGAAACUUUUAAAGUUAGAAGAAAAGAUGAGCAAAAAUGAGACAAAAGAUGGAGAAUUUCAACAGGGAAUUGGGAUCUACAAAAAAAUCACAUGGAUAUUUUACACUGGAAAAAAAUAUAUAAUAUCUGAAUUUUUUUUUUUUUUUUUUUUGAGACGGAGUCUCGCUCUGUCGCCCAGGCUGGAGUGCAGUGGUGCGAUCUCAGCUCACUGCAAGCUCCGCCUCCCGUGUUCAUGCCAUUCUCCUGCCUCAGCCUCCCGAGUAGCUGGGACUACAGGCACCCACCACCAUGCCCAGCUAAUUUUUUGUAUUUUUAGUAGAGACGGGGUUUCACCAUGUUAGCCAGGAUGGUCUCGAUCUCCUGACCUCGUGAUCUGCCUGCCUCAGCCUCCUGCAGUGCUGGGAUUACAGGCAUGAGCCACUGCGCCCGGCCUAAUAUCUGAAAUUAAGAACUCAACGGAUGGGGUCAACAGGACACUGGGCACAACAGAAGACAUAAGUGGUGAACUCAUAGACAAGUGAACAAAAAACUUCCCAGUUGGAUUACAGAGAGGAAAGAAUGGAAAAAACAGAACAGGACAUAACAGAUGUGAUCAAAAGGCCUAAUAUAUGUGUAAUUGGAGUCCCAGGAGUGAAGAGUGAAAAUGAGGCAGAAAAAAAUUCAAGUGAGAAUGGCUAAGAAUUUCCCCAAACUGAUGAAAGGCAUCCACCCACAAAUCCCAAUUUUGUACUUCCAACCACUGUUAUACCACCCCCCUCAACAAUGCCUAUAAAUGUUUGUUGAAAAUGAGUGAAUGAAUGUACUCCAAUCAUUUUCUCACUUGGAUGUUCCCUACUUUUUGCUCUUCUUAGAAAAUAAUAAAUGGUACAAUAAUAUCUCC